rnacentral:rRNA from 1 species
GACGAACGCUGGCGGCGUGCUUAACACAUGCAAGUCGAACGGAAAGGCCCUGCUUGCAGGGUACUCGAGUGGCGAACGGGUGAGUAACACGUGGGUGAUCUGCCCUGCACUUCGGGAUAAGCCUGGGAAACUGGGUCUAAUACCGGAUAGGAGCCAUUUUUAGUGUGAUGGUUGGAAAGUUUUUUCGGUGUAGGAUGAGCUCGCGGCCUAUCAGCUUGUUGGUGGGGUAAUGGCCUACCAAGGCGGCGACGGGUAGCCGGGCUGAGAGGGUGGACGGCCACAUUGGGACUGAGAUACGGCCCAGACUCCUACGGGAGGCAGCAGUGGGGAAUAUUGCACAAUGGGCGCAAGCCUGAUGCAGCGACGCCGCGUGGGGGAUGACGGCCUUCGGGUUGUAAACUCCUUUCGCUAGGGACGAAGCUUUUUGUGACGGUACCUAGAUAAGAAGCACCGGCUAACUACGUG